UGGGGAAUCUUGGACAAUGGGGGCAACCCUGAUCCAGCCAUGCCGCGUGAGUGAUGAAGGCCUUAGGGUCGUAAAGCUCUUUCGCCUGUGAAGAUGAUGACGGUAGCCGUAGAAGAAGCCCCGGCUAACUUCGUGCCAGCAGCCGCGGUAAUACGAAGGGGGCAAGCGUUGUUCGGAAUUACUGGGCGUAAAGCGCGCGUAGGCGGACUGAUCAGUCAGGGGUGAAAUCCCGGGGCUCAACCCGGAACUGCCUUUGAUACUGUCAGUCUUGAGUCCGGAAGAGGCGAGUGGAAUACCGAGUGUAGAGGUGAAAUUCGUAGAUAUUUGGAGGAACACCAGUGGCGAAGGCGGCUCACUGGCUCGAUACUGACGCUGAGGUGCGAAAGUGUGGGGA
rnacentral:rRNA from 1 species